GAGAGGAUAUUUCUCUGUGUGCCUUGCCAAGAUAUUCAUUUCAAAGAAGGCUCUGGCUCCUUCGGCCGCCUUUCCCAGCGUCCACGUGCCUCCCUCCACGGGAUGGAGUUGCACAACUGGUUUUCCAAGCAGAGAACCAUGUUGGGUCCUGAAGAGAAACACAGCCAUCCAGGAUGCUGGCCAGCCAAGAGGUCAAGCAGGCAGUCCUCUAGCUUUCAACCUGGCUCGUCUGCAUUCCAGGCCAGCAGAGGAAGCAGAGGCUACACAAGUGCUCAGUCACCAUGCCAGAAGCUGGGAGCCACCCUCAGCUCGUCUGUUAUCUUACUUGUUUCUGCAAGAGCUCUGACCUCAGCAUGCCGGGCUUUGAGUUCUAUCACGCACUAAAUCCGUGACCUUUUAUAUCUCUGUGUCUCAAUGUAAUUUGUUAUGGUUUAGAUGAAAAAUGUCACUCAGAGACUUCUUGGACUCUUAGGUGGGGCUUUUGGAAAGUGAUUGAGUCACAGGGAUGACGUAACUCACUUGCUGUUAGGAGACAGGAUCCAGUAAGAAGAGGCGGAUCACUUGGGGGUGUGACCUGGGAGAGUGUAUCCCCCUCCCUGGCGCCUCAUUUUUCUAUCUGUUACUUGACGGCCAUGACAUGAGGAUCUUUCCUCUACCCAGGCCCUCUACCAUGCAUGCUACUUCCACCUAGAGGCAGCUGAUCAUGCAGGCACAGAGAUUUCUGGAACCACAAGCCAAAAUAAACCUCUCCUUCUUUAAGUAGGAUGUUGGGUAUUUGUUACAGUAGCAAAGAAAGUGAUCAAUCCUCACUUGUCACUUUUGCUGUCUUCCACUGCCAUAAACAGUCACCUCUCUGCCACCCUGCCUUGGAGUCCGUCAAUUAUGGACCAAAGCCUCUAUAAACCAUGAGCUAAAUAAAUCUAAAAAAAAAAAAAAAAAAAGGUGAACAAGACACAUUUUGGUACAAAGAAUGGGGUGGUUGCUAAACUACAUGACCAUGUGUUUUAGAAGAUUUUGGAACUAGUUUAUUGGAGUUUGGAAAAGAUUUGGAGGUGCCAGCUAAGGAAGCCCUAGAAUGCUAUUAGCUGAGCUUCUGGUCAGAACUCAGAAAACCAGAGCACUGAUAAAAAUUCAGAUGGUAAAGACCAGGGAGGUUUAGGAGGUUUCAGUUAGGAAGGACUCCAGAGGUAGUUGGACUCAAGACUAUAUGUGCUGUGAUCUGGUAGAAAAUUUGUCUACCUGUUUGUUCAACUUCUGAGACUUUGUGGGAAGAGAUUAAGGGUAAUAGACUAAUUAAUCUGGCAGAGGAACAUUCAAGGCAGCCUAACAUUCAGGUUGUGGCAUGGGUACUGUUCAUUGCUUUUUACUGAGAAUCAGUAACAAACAGUACAACUAUAUGACUUUUAAAGUUUUCAGUUUUUGCCAGAAAGCCAGCACCUGUAAAGUUAGGAAUCAGUAAAGUUUUUGGCC
rnacentral:lncRNA from 1 species